AGACGCGGCCGGCAGUCACGCAGCCCCUCUUCCUUCCGCCGGGGCGGCCCAGCUGGCCUGGCUCCGCGCACUCCCGUGCGCCCCGGGCGCGUGUCGGCCGGAUCUCCCGGCGCACCGGGCUGCUCCCCGCCGCAGCGUGCGCCAUGGCGCUCCCCGGGACCCGGGCCCGCGGCUGGGCGGCAGCGGCCAAAAUUGCCCAGAGGCGCCGCCACGCGGAGGGCGCGAGAGGAUCCUCGAGUCGUGCGCCCCCGAGCUCGCGCGCGGCGCUUUACGUGCACUGGCCGUACUGUGAGAAGCGCUGCAGUUACUGCAAUUUCAACAAAUACGUCCCCUGCGGCGUGGAUGAGGCAGCCAUGCGGAGCUGUCUGGUGACCGAGGCUCAGACGCUGCUGCGACUCAGCGGGGUGCGGAGGGUGGAAUCUGUGUUCUUUGGUGGGGGCACCCCCAGUCUGGCCAGUCCCAGCACUGUGGCUGCUGUCCUGGAGGCGGUGGACCAGGCAGCUCAUUUGCCUGCAGACUCCGAAGUCACAUUGGAGGCCAACCCCACUUCGCCCUCCGGCGCCAGGCUGGCAGCUUUUGGGGCUGCAGGGGUCAACCGGUUGUCCAUCGGCCUCCAGUCCCUGGAUGACACCGAGCUCCAGCUGCUGGGGCGGACACACUCGGCCAGAGAUGCUCUCCAGACACUGGCAGAGGCGCGGCGCCUCUUCCCCGGCCGCGUGUCUGUGGACCUGAUGCUGGGGCUGCCAGCCCAGCAGGUGGGGCCGUGGCUCGGGCAGCUGCGGAUGCUGCUGGGCCGCUGUGACGACCACCUCUCCCUCUACCAGCUGACCCUGGAGCGGGGCACCGCACUCUUCACCCAGGUGCAGCGGGGCACCCUUCCUGCCCCUGACCCCGAGCUUGCUGCUGAGAUGUACCAGGAGGGACGGGCCGUGCUCCGGGAGGCCGGCUUCCGCCAGUAUGAGGUCUCCAACUUCGCCCGGAAUGGGGCGCUCAGUACCCACAAUUGGACUUACUGGCAGUGCGGUCAGUACCUUGGCAUUGGGCCUGGGGCCCACGGGCGAUUUGUGCCCCAGGGGGCUGGGGGCCACACCCGGGAGGCUCGGAUCCAGACCCUGGAGCCGGACAACUGGAUGAAAGAGGUGAUGCUGUUUGGGCACGGCACCCGGCGGCGCGUCCCCUUGGGCCAGCUGGAGCUGCUAGAGGAAGUUUUGGCCAUGGGGCUACGUACAGACGUGGGGAUCACUCACCAGCACUGGCAGCAGUUUGAGCCCCAGCUGAGCCUCUGGGACGUGUUUGGAGCAAGCCAGGAGGUGAAGGCACUGCUGGCUCAGGGCCUGUUGCUGCUGGAUCACAGGGGUCUUCGGUGUUCCUGGGAGGGUCUGGCUGUGCUGGACUCUCUGUUGCUGACCCUCCUGCCUCGACUCCAAGAGGCCUGGCAGCAGAGAACCCCCUCCCCUGUGCAAGGAGGAUGACCAGACCCUCCUGUGUCCCAGGACCAUGCCAGUAGGCUCUACACCCAACAUGGGGCUCGACCUCGAGACCCCAACAUCGAGAGCCACAUGCUCUGCUGACUGAGCCAGCCAGGUGCCCCUGGGGCGGCUAUUUUAAUUUCCAUUUUACACUGGGGCCAUUGAGAUUCUCGACUCAAGUCCUAUGAGGAGCUUGAAGCUGCUGUGUCUGCCCAGUGCCAGGUAGAUGGACUUGGUACCUCCGUUUUCCCUCCCACAGAGGCUCCGGCAGUGAGGCCAUCCACUUCCUGGGACAGGACUACAUGCUGCAAAGCCAAGGACUUGAAAUAAUAGGAUUGCUGCGGAGUCAGUGUUUGUGGCCCCCACCCCCAAGAAUUCAUACCUGGGAACCGAAUCCCCAAGGUGGUGGUAUUAGGAGGUGGAACCUUUGGGCGGUGACUAGGUCACGGGGGUGGAGCCUUAGUGCCUUUUCUAAAAGAGGCCCCAGAGGACCGCUGGCCCCUUCCGCCACAUGGGGACAUGGAGAGAAGACGGACGUCUGCAAACCGGGAAGUGGACCCUCCGCAGACCCCAGAGCUGCCAGCACCUUGAUCUUGGACUUCCUCGCCUCCAGAACUGAGAAGUAAAUGGUUAUUGUUUAAG